AGUGAACGCUGGCGGUAGGCCUAACACAUGCAAGUCGAACGGCAGCACAGUAAGAGCUUGCUCUUACGGGUGGCGAGUGGCGGACGGGUGAGGAAUACAUCGGAAUCUACUUUUUCGUGGGGGAUAACGGAGGGAAACUUACGCUAAUACCGCAUACGACCUACGGGUGAAAGCAGGGGAUCUUCGGACCUUGCGCGAUUGAAUGAUCCGAUGUCGGAUUAGCUAGUUGGCGGGGUAAAGGCCCACCAAGGCGACGAUCCGUAGCUGGUCUGAGAGGAUGAUCAGCCACACUGGAACUGAGACACGGUCCAGACUCCUACGGGAGGCAGCAGUGGGGAAUAUUGGACAAUGGGCGCAAGCCUGAUCCAGCCAUACCGCGUGGGUGAAGAAGGCCUUCGGGUUGUAAAGCCCUUUUGUUGGGAAAGAAAAGCAGCAGGUUAAUACCCCGCUGUUCUGACGGUACCCAAAGAAUAAGCACCGGCUAACUUCGUG
rnacentral:rRNA from 1 species